rnacentral:lncRNA from 1 species
CAUCACUUCACCAGUAAUGCUCUCAGCUUAAAAAUACUUCAACCAUCUAGUUGUUAUUACAUCUGGAUUCUCCCCAUUGGAUAAUCAUUCUUAGAUUGCACAUUGGUUAAAAUUGAGGCCAUUGAUAUAAUUUUAAAAUCUUAAUUUUUCUUUGCCAUAUACUUAAUUGGAGCCUUGCUUUCUACUUGUCUAAAUCCCAUCUCCCUUGAAAGAAGUCAUCAAUGGUAAUUUUCCCUUCUGAAAGCUUCGUGGACUUCUUCUGCUCCAGAAGAUUUUCUUCAGUUGGGAUGAGUCACACACAGCCUCUUGAUAAAGCUGAUGCAGCUGCUCCACCUGAUGAGUUAGCAACUGGAUCUCUUACUGAAGGACAUCAGUUCUCUGCAAGGAAACUACAAAAAAUUCAAAGGCAUAUAUCUGAUUACCUAUUUAAUAAAGGAACUCGUGACUAUGGCCCUGAUGUUGUGAAGAAAGGAGGCAGCCAGGCUUCUUUGCCAAAGAUGGGAUGUUAACUGAGACUUGAAGAAAGCCAGGGAAGCCAGGAGGUGAAGAUGAGAAGGAGGGAGUGGGAGUGUUCCAGGCAUUUGGAGGGGGGAAGAGAAGGAUGGUUAAGAUAAAUGCUUAAAAAGUCAAGUGUGUGUCUUCUUUAAGGAACACCAAAGUAAGGAGAACAAUCAUUUGAUGGCAGGGGGUGUGUGUGUGUGUGUAGGGAGGUUUGGUAGGAAUGGUGCAAUUUAAAGACAGGAAGUUCUUCAACUUAUAAGACGUAGGGUUUAAACUAGUUUGUAAGAACGGAAA